UACUCACCACCUCCUGCUUUUAUUGAUCUACUACCACAAUCAACAAAACCUUCACUGAAGAAACCUGUCUCUAACAUUUCUGAAGAGCCUGAACCUCUCUGGUCCUGGGCUGCUUGAUCUACCCUGACGGCUGGGACAGUGACGAGGUGAAGCGGAUGUGCGGCGAAGGGACGGACAAAUACACGCUGGGUGCCUGCUCGGUGCGCUGGGCCUACAUCCUGGCCAUCAUGGGCAUCAUGGACGCCCUCAUCCUCUCUUUCCUGGCCUUCGUCCUGGGGAACCGGCAGGACGGUCUGAUGUCUGACGAGCUGCUGGGGGAAAAGAGCGGCAGUAACGCCAUAUAAUACCUGGUGAUGAUCAAGCACAAAGAGGUCUUGUUACCUAAACAUGAUGAAACUUCAGGAUCCAGCAUCUCUCCUGGUCCAACCUGUGGCUGGGAAGCAGAGCUGAUGUGUGGGGAAAGAACAGGUCAAAGGUCAGGUCUGUCUGGAAGAGCCCACAUCACUUUGGUGGAGACCAGGAUGCCGGCUGUCUUCUCUGAAAGCCCCCCCCCCCUCUGUAAAAUAUCCUUCUCAUUCAUCUCAAACUGCUCCUUUUUACAGGAUGCAUUCAUAAAAUAACUUUUUAAAGAUUACCUGUGUUGGUAUGUCGCUGCAUUAUCUAACGUUCAGAUUGACAUGUUUGUCCGUUUGGAUGAGAGGAAAGCGAAAAGGUGAAAAGGAACAUAUUUAAAAGACUAUUCAAGGACAUAUCAGCUCCCACACACCACGGAGCAACAGCUGCUUGAAUAGAUUAAAAUCACAAGAAAUGAUCCAGUCUCUGACGGACAGAAAUAAGGACUUAACAGACUUGAGGUCAGAUCUUCUUUCUUAUCAAGACAACACACAGUGAGGACUAAAGGAGAUGCACUUGAUAAAA